UGAGUAACACGUAGGUAAUGUGCCUUUGGGUGGGGAAUAACUUAGGGAAACUUAAGCUAAUACCGCAUAAUGCAGCGGCUCCUAAUGGAGACAGUUGUUAAAGAUUUAUCGCCUAAAGAGCAGCCUGCGGCAGAUUAGCUAGUUGGUAAGGUAAUGGCUUACCAAGGCUACGAUCUGUAUCCGACCUGAGGGGGUGGUCGGACACACUGACACUGAAUAACGGGUCAG
rnacentral:rRNA from 1 species